UACGGGGGGGGGUAAGCGUUGUUCGGAAUUACUGGGCGUAAAGGGCUCGUAGGCGGCCAACUAAGUCAGACGUGAAAUCCCUCAGCUUAACUGGGGAACUGCGUCUGAUACUGGAUGGCUUGGAUCCGGAAGAGGGAUGCGGAAUUCCAGGUGUAGCGGUGAAAUGCGUAGAUAUCUGGAGGAACACCGGUGGCGAAGGCGGCAUCCUGGGCCGGUAUUGACGCUGAGGAGCGAAAGCGUGGGGAGCAAACAGG
rnacentral:rRNA from 1 species